rnacentral:rRNA from 1 species
UGAGGAAUAUUGGUCAAUGGGCGCAGGCCUGAACCAGCCAAGUAGCGUGAAGGAUGACUGCCCUAUGGGUUGUAAACUUCUUUUAUAUGGGAAUAAAGUUUUCCACGUGUGGAAUUUUGUAUGUACCAUAUGAAUAAGGAUCGGCUAACUCCGUGCCAGCAGCCGCGGUAAUACGGAGGAUCCGAGCGUUAUCCGGAUUUAUUGGGUUUAAAGGGAGCGUAGGUGGACAGUUAAGUCAGUUGUGAAAGUUUGCGGCUCAACCGUAAAAUUGCAGUUGAUACUGGCUGUCUUGAGUACAGUAGAGGUGGGCGGAAUUCGUGGUGUAGCGGUGAAAUGCUUAGAUAUCACGAAGAACUCCGAUUGCGAAGGCAGCUCACUGGACUGCAACUGACACUGAUGCUCGAAAGUGCGGGUAUCAAACAGG